GGACACAGAUCUGCUCACCUGCUCCACAGGAAGACAGCGAGCAGUAUGAACAGCAGGAAAACAGCAAGGAUUGUUCCAGUCACCAUUGAUUUCCAUGCACCUGGAUCAAUCAAUUGAUUUAGUUGAUGGCAUGAUGUUUGAUUCAGGUGAAGUGGGUGUCAAGGACUUUGGAGGCAGAAUCUCACCCGUUACAACAGUCAGACGCAAGGUGGCGUGACGGCGUCCUCGUCUGUUCUCGGCUGCGCAGAGAUAAUUCCCACCGUGUUCAGCUCUGAUGUCAGCGAUGGUGAAGAUCUGCACUGAUGCUUUUGGUUUUUUCAAGAAGACGAACAUCAAGGAGAACAUCUUCUGAACGAAGGAACAAUUAUUUACCAACCCUCCAAACAGUGUUUUCUCUGUGAAUUUGUUUUCUUUUUUGCCAUUCUGCUCUACACUUAGUAUCUGACAGG